rnacentral:rRNA from 1 species
AUACGUAGGGUGCGAGCGUUAAUCGGAAUUACUGGGCGUAAAGCGUGCGCAGGCGGUUUCGUAAGACAGAGGUGAAAUCCCCGGGCUCAACCUGGGAACUGCCUUUGUGACUGCGAGGCUAGAGUACGGCAGAGGGGGGUGGAAUUCCACGUGUAGCAGUGAAAUGCGUAGAGAUGUGGAGGAACACCGAUGGCGAAGGCAGCCCCCUGGGCCGAUACUGACGCUCAUGCACGAAAGCGUGGGUAGCAAACAGGAUUAGAAACCCCAGUAGUCC